GUGGGGAAUCUUGCGCAAUGGGCGAAAGCCUGACGCAGCCAUGUCGCGUGAAUGAUGAAGGUCUUAGGAUUGUAAAAUUCUUUCACCGGGGACGAUAAUGACGGUACCCGGAGAAGAAGCCCCGGCUAACUUCGUGCCAGCAGCCGCGGUAAUACGAAGGGGGCUAGCGUUGCUCGGAAUUACUGGGCGUAAAGGGCGCGUAGGCGGACAGUUUAGUCAGAGGUGAAAGCCCAGGGCUCAACCUUGGAAUUGCCUUUGAUACUGGCUGUCUUGAGUACGGGAGAGGUGAGUGGAACUCCGAGUGUAGAGGUGAAAUUCGUAGAUAUUCGGAAGAACACCAGUGGCGAAGGCGACUCACUGGCCCGUUACUGACGCUGAGGCGCGAAAGCGUGGGGAGCAAACAGGAUUAGAUACCCCAGUAGUCC
rnacentral:rRNA from 1 species